GCCGCGGUGGCGGAACAGGGAGACGCACGGGACUCAAAAUCCCGCGAGGGCAACCUCAUGAGAGUUCGAUUCUCUCCCGCGGCA
rfam:Candidatus Wildermuthbacteria bacterium RIFCSPLOWO2_01_FTLL_48_29 rifcsplowo2_01_scaffold_5151, whole genome shotgun sequence.